rnacentral:lncRNA from 1 species
CAGAUUAUCCACAUGAUCAUGAGGGAGGCGAGUCUCUAAUUGUCCGGCAACUUCUCCAGCAGAUGAAAGAGACAAUCCGGCUCUGCGUAGCGCAAGUCGUCUAGUGUUGGUAACUCCCAGGACUCCCGCGCAUACACUAUGCUUCUUAAUUUUCCAGGCCUCAAUUAAAGAAGUUGUGUCAUUCAAUUCUUUUAGUACACUAUUGUUCAUAAUUUUAAG